GGAUGUGAAAGAUACAGGGGUAUAAAGAAAACAAGGAUGAGAGGAAUGCUGGGAUGUAAGGGAAACAGAGAAUUUGUUGUCUUUUCCUCAUGUAGGGGUGUCUAGGAUCCCCUAAAUUUUAACUUCUCGGGAACAUGUCUGUCCAAUCUUUUUGCAUAUGUACAUAUUUAGUCAUUGGUGGUGGUAUGGUACUUCUAUUGAUGAACGUAGUCAAAAUUCGUUUUGAAUUGAAUAUGCUUUAAAAACCUCGUGCUUUUAAGAGAAUCAGCUGUCACCAACUCAAUGUAUAAAAUAAUUUACAAAUAUAUCUCGAAACAUUUAUAAUACAAUCAUUAUCAUAACUGAUAUAAUCAAGGAAAGUAUUUGUUGUAGAGGAAUAAUGGUUGAAAGUGCUUGUGAUCCUACAAUAGAAAAACAUUUUAAAGGUCAUGAAAACACUAUUACAAGUUUAUGUUUUCAUCCUGAGACUACUCAACUUGUAUCAAGUAGCUUAGAUAAAACUUUAAUACUAUGGAAUCUAAAAGAAUCUGUAAGGGCUUACAGAUUUCAGGGACAUAAAGAUGCUAUAUUUGAUGUUGCUUAUGCUCCAUCAGGAGAAGUUAUAGCUAGUGCUUCUAGAGAUAGAUCUGUUAGAAUUUGGGUUCCUAAAGUAACAGGUCAAUGUUUAGAUUUUAAAGCUCAUUUAGGGGCUGUUAGAUCGAUACAGUUUAGUCCAGAUGGAAAGAAGUUGAUCACUGCAUCAGAUGAUAAAAGUAUCAAAUUAUGGACAGUAUGUCAAAGAAGAUUUCUCAUGUCAUUUGUAAGUCAUACAAGCUGGGUCAGAUGUGCUAGAUUUUCCUUGGAUGGUAGACUUGUAAUCUCCUGUAGCGAUGACAAAACAAUAAAAUUAUGGGACAUUAUUAGUGGACGCUGUAUUCAAACUUUUAAUGAUAUAAAAGCUCAUUCUACACAUGUGGAAUUUCAUCCAAGUGGGUCUGUUAUUGGAUCUGCAAAUACGGCUGGUUGUGUAAAAUUAUAUGAUUUACGUACUACUUCUUUAUAUCAACACUAUGCAACUCACACAGGUCCUGUAAACAUGGUAAAAUUUCAUCCAAAGGGAAAUUUCAUGUUAACUGCUUCUAGUGAUUCUACAAUGAAGGUUUUAGACUUGUUAGAGGGUCGGCCGAUUUAUACACUUAAAGGACAUGUUGCCGGUACCAGUGUAACGUCAAUAACAUUCUCUUCUAAUGGAGAAUUUUUUGCUUCUGGUGGAGGUGAUCGACAAUUACUAAUGUGGAAGACUAAUUUUGAUAGAGAUGAUAUUGCUCGUAAAAUUCCGCGACAGUUAGUUUCACCUAUUACAGAAUCAAGUUUCAGCAUCAAUGAUGAAAUAUCUCAAAAAAUUGAUAUAUUUGAAGGAAGAGAGGAAACAGUGGAGAUACCAUUACAUGAAAAGUAUGAUAAUAUAAAUGUACAACCCGAGAAAAGUCAGUGUGAAGCACCUGACCCUGAAGCUUUGACAAAAAAUAUGAAACCUGAAAUAAUUAAUAUGAGAAACCAAAAACCAGUUGAAGAAGGCCGUAUUGUAAAUAUAUCAUAUUUAUCUAAACAAUUCUCUGAAAUGCAUGCAAGUAAUGCAGUAGAUGCCCUUAGUGAAGAAGUACAGUCAUUACAUGAUGCUGUUAUGAGCUUGGAACAACGUUUAACAAUAUUAGAAGAAGAAUUAAAAAAUAAUUGUAUAAAACAAUGGCAAUGAGGCCCUGGUUUUGUUUAUAAAAUAAGUUGAUGUGGAAAAUAUUUAAUCUAAAGAACUAACUGGAUUAUAGCCUGAUGGUAAAGUAUUGUGAAUCCAUCGUCAAAGAAAACUUCUCUCCAGUGAUUCUGUACGUGUUCGUAUAGAACCUCCAUAUGUGCGUACCUAUAUAUUAACAAAUAGAUUAGACUUCAGACUGUGGGUGCUGGCCACUCGCGUUCACUCAAGAGGAGUUAGACUUCCACUGCUGACUCUUACUUCUCUU